UCGCCGGGACGACCCGGCCGGUUACACCCUGAGCAGGGACGACCCCG
rnacentral:ncRNA from 1 species